GAGCCUGUGGCUCAGUGAGUAGGGCACUGGUCUCAUAUACCAAGGGUGGUGGUUUGAACCCAGCCACGGCCG
rnacentral:tRNA from 1 species